CAUUGGCCGGGAAACUAACCCGGUUCGCCCACGUGGCAGGAGAGCAUUCUACCACUGAAUCACCGAAU